rnacentral:rRNA from 1 species
UACAGAGGUCUCAAGCGUUGUUCGGAUUCAUUGGGCGUAAAGGGUGCGUAGGCGGCGUGGUAAGUCGGGUGUGAAAUCUUGGAGCUUAACUCCGAAACUGCAUUCGAUACUGCCGUGCUUGAGGACUGGAGAGGAGACUGGAAUUUACGGUGUAGCGGUGAAAUGCGUAGAUAUCGAGAGGAACACCUGCGGCGAAGGCGGGUAGCUGGGCCGACACUGACGCUGAGGCGCGAAAGCUAGGGGAGCGAACGGG